UGUUCGACUUUUCAUCCACCGACCAUCACCGUCUUCCAAUGCGAGGUGCUGUCUUUCACCAUCGGCAAUUGGCUUUCAUCUUUUCUGAGAAAAGACAAAGCCUUCAUCGUCUUCCUCCAUCGCCGUCGCCAUCGUCAUUGUCGAUCUUUCCAUCUUCGCUCAUCACCGUCGCCAUCACUGAUCUUUCCAUCUUCGCUCAUUGCCAUCAUCAUUUGUCGUUUCAAGUAUUGCUUGUUCUCUAAUUUAAUCAGGUAUAGUCUUUCUCAGGUUGUUUGUUCCUAUUUAUUUUCCUUCUGUAAUUCUUUCUUCCUUAAUUUAAUAAGUCUGAUGGUCUUUGACUUCUAUUUUUCCUUCAAAAAUAAUAAUUAUAU
rnacentral:lncRNA from 1 species